rnacentral:rRNA from 1 species
UACGGAAGGCAGCAGUGGGGAAUAUUGCACAAUGGGCGCAAGCCUGAUGCAGCCAUGCCGCGUGUAUGAAAAAGGCCUUCGGGUUGUAAAGUACUUUCAGUCGUGAGGAAGGUGUUAAGGUUAAUAACCUUAGCAAUUGACGUUAGCGACAGAAGAAGCACCGGCUAACUCCGUGCCAGCAGCCGCGGUAAUACGGAGGGUGCGAGCGUUAAUCGGAAUUACUGGGCGUAAAGGGCACGCAGGCGGUUAAUUAAGUUGGAUGUGAAAUCCCCGGGCUUAACCUGGGAAUGGCAUUCAAGACUGGUUAGCUAGAAUCUUGUAGAGGGGGUAGAAUUCCAUGUGUAGCGGUGAAAUGCGUAGAGAUGUGGAGGAAUACCGGUGGCGAAGGCGGCCCCUGGACAAAGACUGACGCUCAUGUGCGAAAGCGUGGGGAGCAAACAGGGAUUAGAUACC